AAGUCGUAACAAGGUCUCCGUUGGUGAACCAGCGGAGGGAUCAUUACCGAGUUUACAACUCCCAAACCCCUGUGAACAUACCUAUACGUUGCCUCGGCGGAUCAGCCCGCGCCCCGUAAAACGGGACGGCCCGCCCGAGGACCCUAAACUCUGUUUUUAGUGGAACUUCUGAGUAAAACAAACAAAUAAAUCAAAACUUUCAACAACGGAUCUCUUGGUUCUGGCAUCGAUGAAGGACGCAGCAAAAUGCGAUAAGUAAUGUGAAUUGCAGAAUUCAGUGAAUCAUCGAAUCUUUGAACGCACAUUGCGCCCGCCAGUAUUCUGGCGGGCAUGCCUGUUCGAGCGUCAUUUCAACCCUCAAGCUCAGCUUGGUGUUGGGACUCGCGGUAACCCGCGUUCCCCAAAUCGAUUGGCGGUCACGUCGAGCUUCCAUAGCGUAGUAAUCAUACACCUCGUUACUGGUAAUCGUCGCGGCCACGCCGUUAAACCCCAACUUCUGAAUGUUGACCUCGGAUCAGGUAGGAAUACCCGCUGAACUUAA
rnacentral:rRNA from 1 species